UGCACUGUUAGCACACCUCUGUCCCACCAUCUCACGUACUGUAGGGGGACCUCAAGUACCACAAAUACUCAGUCACUUUGAUUCACCAAGCAAAUUGUGAUACAGCAGCCAACAGGAUCAGAAAACGUCACACGCUGCAGAGACACUCCCACCUGCAACUCUUCAUCUCUCUGUAACUACACUAACAGAUUUAUGUGAGUCUCCAAACACCAGAACAUGGACAUUAUCAAACAUGGUCUCUUCAGCUUUUUAUUAUUUCUGCUCUGGAUGAAAGGUCUAAUUGAUGGGAGUGAUGUCACCCAGACUGACAUACUGUGGAUACACCAGGGUGAAAAUGCAACAAUAAGCUGCAGCCACACCAAAGGUGGCAGCUAUUUCCAGAUGUACUGGUACAGACAGCUGCCAGGAGAAGCAAUGAAACAAAUAGUGUUCACAACAACAGCCAGCAAAGAUCACGACUUUGGAGAAUUCAGCAAAGAGAAAUUCUCAGCCACCAAGCCUGACGCUCACAGUGGGACAUUCACUGUGAAGAAUCUGGUGCCAGAAGAUAAAGGGUUGUACUUCUGUGCCGUUAGUGAGCACAGUGAUACAGACACAUGUGGAAGCUGAACAAAAACCCAGCGC